CCUAGCCCCCUUCUCAUCUCUUUCUGUUGUUAGUGCUCUGAUGUCCCGAUAUAGAUAACCUUGAAGUAAUUCUUGAUUCUUAGAUCAACUAGAGAACUCUCAGGAAACUUCCUCUCUUCCCACCAAAAAUAAUUAUAUAGUUAUCCUUGGGCGAUCUUGGAUCUUAAUUAGUACACUCACGUUCUCUGUGGAAAAUCGAUACUCUGGAAUACUCCCGGGUGAAAGCUACAUCGGUAUCCGUGCGUUUGCGGAUUUUUCUGUUUGCGUUUAAAAUACCCAACAAGCUUUCUGGCGCCGUUGCCGGGGAACGGUAGUUGUGCUAGUUUCGAACCAAGUCGUCCGUGUAUCCUGUUUCUUUUCCUUUUUUACCAUACUCACCUUACCAUUUUCACCAUACCACAUGGAUUUCACUCUAAGCAUUAAUGAGCAUGGAAUUUAUUUCAUAGCCACUUCAUUUACUCCAUGCUCAUAUGCAACAUCUUCACAAUCCAUUGGUCUCUCCAACAUCACCACAUUCGAGAUCUCCAACCCCCUCAUCCUUUUCAUUUACAAAAACUUUAAAAGGGCGGUUGUCGAUGCAUAUGUCUAUAUUAAAUAUUGCAGAUCUCGUUGAGUUGAUCUUGAUAUAGGUCAGCGUUGGAGGGGAAACCACUUCGCCGACAUAAAUUGAUGGUUUCCCAAGGACAAGCUUAGUGUCCUAAAAUAAGCACUGAUUAGAUCGUAACAUGAGCUUUGAAUUAUUUGCAAUAUUACCUUGUGUGUUGAGCAUAUAAGGAUAAUUGUAAAAAUAUUCCUUCGGGUAUUCUUGUCACUAACCUUUCUAGGAUUGGAGCAAGAAGAUCGGAUAAAUGACAAGCACAAGGUAUGUACAACCAAUCAUCGUACAACAUUGAAUUAAAUUCAUCCAAACUUGAAUUUUGCAAAAUUCAAGCUUGGGGGAGUACUUUAUAUAAAAACAUCAUUUGCCAUGUUGCUAUGUUGGUUGUCCCUACCUUUGAGACAUGCUCAAUUUGUUAAAUAGUAAUCACACUACUUCAUCUCCACUUGAGUAGAUCUCUAUAAAAGCCAUCACGCUACCUUUGUUUAUCCUAGUAAGUGUUAGUUUGGAAGUACUGUACAUACUUCUAUUGGUUUUUAAAUUAAGCAUGGUGCUUAGGUUAAACAGCCUUCCUUAAUCUAAUUAGACAUGGAGUCUAGUUUGGUUAUUGAACUAAAAACUGCUUGUGUAGACAUUGGUAUAUUUUUUUGGACUAACCCCUGUAGGAAAACUUUCAAUAUCGACCUGGGAAGUCCUGAGACAAACUCACAUUGGAGCCAAAGAGAGAGACACAUGAAGUUUAACAAUUUACACAAGGAAGGCAUAAGAGAUGAUCCAUGGAGGGUGCUACAAACACGAUGCACAACCGCUAAGAAAGGAAAGCUUCCACAAGGUCAUACUGUACCAUCACUCUUCAAGUAAGGUAACAUCUUAAAGUACUUGUCUAUCACUUUUAUAAGCUUCUCCUUGGUUCUGGCGUUCACAUGAAUAAAAGAGACAAACAUGUAUGAUUUACAACUCUAGAUUAACCAACCCAAUUAUUCAACAUGUUUAGUCCUUUAAUCUUUGUUCUUAGUACUACCUUCGUGAUCCCACACUCCUAAUCAUGUAAGAUAAAAUGUUGCACAUUCAUUCUUUGGAAGAUAUAAACAAAACAUAAAUAUAGAUAGAUUAUCUUUCCAUUAGGUUGAGCCAUCUGAUCUGACAAAUGUUUUAAAUGCUACACUCAUGAUCUUAUUAUCCAUCAACUUUGUCUUGCUCACUAUGCUUAAGGUUAGAGAAGAAUAAAUACACUUUUGGUUCUGUUGGUGUUUUCCACCAACAGAGCCCAUGCACUUGAUCUCUGCCUUUUCUCUAAGAGCAGGUACACUUUGAGCAAAAUAUGAAGGACUUUUACAACUCCCAGACUCCACCAAGUGAAGAACUUGUAUCUACGAGCACAAACACACUGGAGAUACUAGACACUCAGGCAAUCACUGCCCUGAGAUGCUUGAGGACAUAACUACUGGAGUAACCCUGUAGUGGAAGUAAUUACCGACCUUCUGCCGGUCAAGAGAGACAACCCAGGACGCCCCGUCAUCCCGAUCUCCAUCGGCAUGGUGGACUUCUUAGAAGCACUCUGCGACUUUGGCUCCAGCGUCAACAUUAUGCCCAAGCCUGCAGAUCAGACACUAAGUUUCCCAAAGGGAAUUUUGAAGAACCUCUGCGUUCGAGUUGGUACCUUGUACGGCCCAGCAAACUUCGUGGUGAUAGAGACUGGUACUGAUGAGAGGGCACCCAUCUUAGGGAGGCCAUUCCUGAACACCUCGGGAGCUGUCAUCUACGCUAGUGCUGCCAAGAUCAGUUUCUACAUCAAAGGGAGAAAUGAGACAUUUUCCUUCAAGAACAAGACUACACAAUCUCAGAGAAUUCCCGACAUGAACCAAGGAAGAGGACCAACAGGAGGAACAGGAACAAGCAAGUGUGGACCGAGUCAGCUAAGAUGGUCACUGCAGUUCAAGGAGGUCAAGAUCAUCUAUUUAAGUCACCGUUCUUGACCAAAAAGGAUGACUCAGUCACCUAUCAGCUUCUGUUAGGAACCAUGCCCUUAAAACCGACAUACACCCAGCUCCAAAUGGCAGAUCAAACAUUUCAGAAGGUUGAAGUUAUUGACAUAGGAGAAGACGAGUACGAUCCACCCAUCAUCCUUGGAAGACCGUUCCUCAACACCGUUAAAGCAAUCAUCUACAUUGGAACCGGCGGAGUCCACAUGCACUUCCCCUCUGAAAAGGUACGCCACUAUUUUACUAACCUUAACUACAUAGUUGAAGACUCUAAGCAGGUCAGGACAAGAAUACGACGACGCAACCGCAACCAGAGGAGGCAAAUCAUCAAGGACGGAUGGGUAGACUAUGAAGGAGAAGUUGUAAGGUCUGAAGACAUACAACUUGAACAGAACUGUCCUAGGAGACCGUAGCACCGAGUCAGGUGUGGAAAGAGAAAAUAGUUAUACACAAAGAGAAAGCACCGUCGGAACCACCGACUACGCCAUCCAGCGAAUCCCAGGAUGAUUCAGGAAACGGAGAGUCCCGUUCGGAGGACUUAAAAACACCGAACGUCUUGCCAAGAGGUAAACUUGGUAGUUAUCUUUCUCCUUUCAAUUAUUUAAAAUAGUUUGCUUAGUUAAUCAGGUUCACAUCAUCUUGAAAAGAAAAUAAAAAUGUUGAAGAUAGUAAGCCCCAUGUGAGUAUGCUCAUGGUAUAAAACCCAUAAGCACAUUCACUGUGGUGGCGUAAAAAUAAAAUAAAUAUAUUCCUGUCCUAUAAAAAUGAAAAUAUAAAAAUAAAUUUAUGAUCCUACUAAAGAGAGUAACAUUUAUUGAGGAGGCUCAACAUGAUAAAGGCUAAAUAUUUAUGCUAACACUUAACUAGUUCCACAAAGCUUUGUUGUCUAUUUGAGCUCCACAGAAUUCAAGGAUCAAAGAAGACUAGCAGACGGAGGACAUCCUAAUCGCUGUCAGGGUGCUGCCGACAUUCAAAUACACCUCCGCCACUUGCUAGCUAUAUCAUAAGAGAUUACGUCAAAAUCCAGCUUGGGGGAGAGCACCCCCAUUUAUCCAGCUAAGUAUUCUACUCACGUUUAUAUUUUACUCAAAUAAUAAAAAGAUGCAUAAUCAUAGAAACCCAAAUAAAGAUUUUGUGCUUAUAUAUAUCUUUGCUUAGUUUGCUAAAUAAAUAAAUAAAUAAAUAAAGUUUGCUAUGAACCCUCAUGAUAAGCUCUCACAUGGAAAUGAUGAAUAGUUGCUCUGCCAUGACUAGUUCUUAAAAUUGAAAUCUCUCUCAAGUUUAGGCAUGACUGUUAUUAAUUAAGAUUUGCUCUAAACCUAAACUUGUGGGGAGAGUACUUGAUCUAAAGUCUAAGUCGUUAACGGAUACGAUAUGGGAAGGUUGAGCUGCUGUUUAUCUGUUCCUAGAGAUGCUAGAAAUCUGGAGAAUUUUAUCUUUGAAAAUCUUUAAAUUGUUGCAUGAUGAGUUCCUGUAUGAUGAGAGUUUAAAUUCCUACCACAGCCAUAUAUACAUGCUUGCUAGACUUUGCGCCACACAUUUACUUUUUACUGCUUAUGAGCAUUGAGUGUGGUCAAGCUGUGUAGACCCUUAGGAGCUUGUCAUGUGGUUAAAAUCAAGAUUCACUUGCACGUUCACUCAUACAUGCUACUUCUACUCCGGAAGUACCAUCCACAUAUAUCCACUCACUUCCAUCUCCAAAUUCACCCAAAAUUAUUCUACUCCUAAUCCGGGAGAGAAUAGCCAAAAAUAUUUUCCUAUCCCUGUUAUUCCGUGUGAAAUACAUGCUCGAGUUAUCUUGGUUACUACCACUUGCCACAUUAUUCUAGGAGGAUGAGUGCUCUAAAAAAAAGAAAAAAAAUGAAGAAUACGAGGAAAUAAAAAGGGGCAAGUGCCCGAAACCUCGAAAGAAAAGAAAAAAAAGAAGUGAGACGAGAGGUAAAAAUGGACAAGUGUCCGACAGUAGAAUUAGGGGUACAAGAUACCCACCUGAGAGAAAAGAAAAAAAAUAUAGAGCAUCUCAUUCUCCUCAAAAAGUUUCAAAAGAGCAAGAAAGGUAUGUAUUCCCUCAAAAGAGCAAAAGUAGAAUUAGACUUUCACCAUUGUUAUCACCAUCAUCACCUUACACCAUUCAUUCGCCACACAUGCACAUCUUGAUUUGACUUAUUGACUUGUUCUUCUGGAUCCAUGGUUUGACUAUGCAAUAAAUGUCUUGUAAGUAUGUAUUAGCUGUCUCCCACCUAUGAGCUCCAGAUAUCAAAACCUUAUUAGAGUAGGGUGAGAGAGAAGGCAAUGUCACUAUGCCUCAUACUACAAAUACCACAUACUUUGAGAGAAGGCAUACACCAUUAAUGCCUUGGUAAGGAUCCAGAAAUACCAUAAAAUAGAGACUAGAGAGAGUCAUACAAGGAAUCUCUGAGUUUUAUUUGAAAAUCUGCAAAAACUCCAGAGCUAUAGCUGAUCAAGAAUAAGAGACAUGGUGCUUGACUAGACCGUUCUAUCUUUUAACUACUCAAGACCGAAGUGACGGUUACAAGUCCCAUGGUGAAAGGUAAAUGAGUAAGUUUUAAGUCUUAACAGUUUACUCUAACCAGAGAUGAGAUCUUGUUUAAACGCAUGUGUAUCUUUAAGUUAUGAAACCACUGCAGAAACUCUUGAGUUCAUCUUUGCUCAGGGACGAGCAAAGGUUAAGCUUGGGGGAGCUUGUUGACGGUCCUUAAUGCUCACAAUUAACCAUCAAUUAAUCAUGGAAAAGGAUCCAAAUGCAACCAAAACCUAGACUUAGGGUUUUAUCUGACAGAAUUCCACGAGUUUUGGUGUUUGUCUAUUUCUGCAGGGGGUUAUCGGGAAAUAAGGAAGAAAGGCCCACACGUCGGGUUUACAUAGAGAUAUUAACAUGCCGCGCAAUUUUCUAUCAUCUAGAAGACUCCAGAAGCCACGGGAACGAACGGGAAGGAAAUCGGGCUCGGAGGCAGGGCGCCCGCCCAACUCUCUUGGGCGCCCGCCCAGCUACAGUGCCCAAUCAGGACACGUUUCGCGGAUUAUGCUCCACCGACCUAAAGGAUCAAGGAAAACCGUGUGAUUAAUGUCGGUUUGAUCCGACGGCCCAGAUUCACUUGAAGAGACUAUAAAACCAGACCCCCUGGCCCCUGGAGAUCAUACCUCUUCUACAGAAUCAAAGUUAGGGUUUCAAUUCUUCAUCCAAGUAGAGAGGAUCCCUCUAGUUCUUCUAGUUCUACCCCUAGUUCAUCUAGAUCUAGUUCUAGUUCAUCUAGUUCUAGUUCUAGUUCCUCUAGUUCUAGUUCUAGUUAGUUCUAGUUGUAAUCUAGAAAAUAGGGAGAGAGAAGAGGAGAGCGGAGGAGGAGCCGGAUCUGUCGGAUCUUCCUCAACAUUAUACUUUUGCAGCAUCUGGUUCGUUCUUCAUCGUUCUCCAGGUUCUUCAAUUCAUAAUUCCUGAGUUCUUUAAUUACUUUUAUUUACAUUCAAGUUAUUUAUUGGAUUCCCGCUUGCAUCAAGUGCUCUAGUCUUUAUAACGCUAGAGUAGUAAUUAAUAGAUUAGACGUGGUGUUUAGUCUUGCAAUUACCUGGAAUUGCACCCAAUCCUGCGGAUUGUUGUGGUAGCCUUAGGGUAGUGACAGCCCUAACGGUCGACGUAUUCCACCACGUUCGGAUCGGUGUUUGUAGGACCGUAGUCAGACCUUCCUAGCCCCCUUCUCAUCUCUUUCUGUUGUUAGUGCUCUGAUGUCCCGAUAUAGAUAACCUUGAAGUAAUUCUUGAUUCUUAGAUCAACUAGAGAACUCUCAGGAAACUUCCUCUCUUCCCACCAAAAAUAAUUAUAUAGUUAUCCUUGGGCGAUCUUGGAUCUUAAUUAGUACACUCACGUUCUCUGUGGAAAAUCGAUACUCUGGAAUACUCCCGGGUGAAAGCUACAUCGGUAUCCGUGCGCUUGCGGAUUUUUCUGUUUGCGUUUAAAAUACCCAACAAUUAGGCAUCUUUUUAUUAUUUGAGUGAAGUAUAAACGUGAGUAGAACACUUAGCUGGAUAAAUAGGGGUGCUCUCCCCCAAGCUGGAUCUUAACGUAAUUUCUUCUGAUGUAGCUAGCAAGUGGUGGAGGUGUAUUUGAAUGUUGGCAGCACCCUUAUAGCGAUUAGGAUAUCCUCCGUCGGCUAGUCUUCCUUGAUCCUUGAAUUCUGUGGAGCUCAAAUAGACAACAAAGCUUUGUGGAACUAGUUAAGUGUUAGCAUAAAAUCUCUUAGCCUUUAUCAUGUUGAGCUUCCUGUAAUAAAUAUUACUCUCUUUAGUAGGAUAAUAAAUUUAUUUUUAUAUUUUUCUUUUUACAGGACAAGAAUAUGUUUAUUUUAUUUUUACGCCACCACAGUGAAUGGGUUUUAUGCCAUGAGCAUACUCACAUGGGGCUUACUGUUUUUAACAUUUUUAUUUUCUUUUCAAGAUAGCAUGAUUAACUAACAAGCUAUUUAAGGAAAGUAAAUAAUUUAAGGGAAAAGGGAAUGCUGAAAGGAUAAAUAUGGAUAACUACCGAUUUUACCUUUCAGCGAGGGUUCAAUGUUUUAAGUCUUCUGAACAAGACUUCUCACUGUGUUCAUUCUUUAUGUGCGUCAUUUGAGUUAGGUGUGGACCUUGACAUCUGCACCUCUUGAUACGGUGUCACCCAUGUUUUUCGUUUGCCCAGCAGUUCGAAGUGCGGCGUUGGCAGCAUCCUCCUCAGUGUGUUUGUGCUCGUAGAUCCAAAUCCUUCACUUGGUAGAGUCUGGGAGUUAGAAAACUCCUCCAUGUUUUGCUCGAAGUGUAUCCUGCUCAUAUAGACAAGGCAGAGAUCAAGUGCAUGGGCCCUGUUGGUGGAAAACACCAACAGAACCAAAAGUGUAUUUAUUCUUCUCUAACCUUAAGCAUAGUGAGCAAGACAAAGUUGACGGAUGAUAAGAUCAUGAGUGUAGAAUUUAAAACAUUUGAGAGAUCAGAUCACUCAACCUUAUGGAAAGAUAAUCUAUCGAAGUAAAUGUUUUUUUUCUUUACAUGACUAUCAUUUUCCAAAGAUUGGAUGUACAACAUUUUAGCUCAUAUGGUUAAGAGUGUGGGAUCAAGAAGGUA
rnacentral:lncRNA from 1 species